rnacentral:rRNA from 1 species
GCAGGCCUAACACAUGCAAGUCGAGCGGAAACGACACUAACAAUCUUCGGGUGCGUUAAUGGGCGUCGAGCGGCGGACGGGUGAGUAAUGCCUAGGAAAUUGCCUUGAUGUGGGGGAUAACCAUUGGAAACGAUGGCUAAUACCGCAUAAUGCCUACGGGCCAAAGAGGGGGACCUUCGGGCCUCUCGCGUCAAGAUAUGCCUAGGUGGGAUUAGCUAGUUGGUGAGGUAAUGGCUCACCAAGGCGACGAUCCCUAGCUGGUCUGAGAGGAUGAUCAGCCACACUGGAACUGAGACACGGUCCAGACUCCUACGGGAGGCAGCAGUGGGGAAUAUUGCACAAUGGGCGAAACUGAUUGCAGCCAUGCCGCGUGUAUGAAGAAGGCCUUCGGGUUGUAAAGUACUUUCAGUUGUGAGGAAGGGGGUAGUGUUAAUAGCGCUAUCUCUUGACGUUAGCAACAGAAGAAGCACCGGCUAACUCCGUGCCAGCAGCCGCGUUAAUACGGAGGGUGCGAGCGUUAAUCGGAAUUACUGGGCGUAAAGCGCAUGCAGGUGGUUCAUUAAGUCAGAUGUGAAAGCCCGGGGCUCAACCUCGGAACUGCAUUUGAAACUGGUGAACUAGAGUACUGUAGAGGGGGGUAGAAUUUCAGGUGUAGCGGUGAAAUGCGUAGAGAUCUGAAGGAAUACCAGUGGCGAAGGCGGCCCCCUGGACAGAUACUGACACUCAGAUGCGAAAGCUGGGGGAGCAAACAGGAUUAGAUACCCUGGUAGUCCACGCCGUAAACGAUGUCUACUUGGAGGUUGUGGCCUUGAGCCGUGGCUUUCGGAGCUAACGCGUUAAGUAGACCGCCUGGGGAGUACGGUCGCAAGAUUAAAACUCAAAUGAAUUGACGGGGGCCCGCACAAGCGGUGGAGCAUGUGGUUUAAUUCGAUGCAACGCGAAGAACCUUACCUACUCUUGACAUCCAGAGAAGCCAGCGGAGACGNAGGUGUGCCUUCGGGAACUCUGARACAGGUGAACGASGCAACCUUAUCUUGUUUGCAGSGAKUAUGUCGGRACUCCAG